rnacentral:rRNA from 1 species
AUUGAACGCUGGCGGCAUGCUUUACACAUGCAAGUCGAACGGUAACAGGCCGCAAGGUGCUGACGAGUGGCGAACGGGUGAGUAAUGCAUCGGAACGUGCCCAGUCGUGGGGGAUAACUACUCGAAAGAGUAGCUAAUACCGCAUACGAUCUAUGGAUGAAAGCGGGGGACCGUAAGGCCUCGCGCGAUUGGAGCGGCCGAUGUCAGAUUAGGUAGUUGGUGGGGUAAAGGCUCACCAAGCCAACGAUCUGUAGCUGGUCUGAGAGGACGACCAGCCACACUGGGACUGAGGCACGGCCCAGACUCCUACGGGAGGCAGCAGUGGGGAAUUUUGGACAAUGGGCGCAAGCCUGAUCCAGCGAUGCCGCGUGCAGGAAGAAGGCCUUCGGGUUGUAAACUGCUUUUGUACGGAACGAAACGGCUCUGGUUAAUACCCGGGGCUAAUGACGGUACCGUAAGAAUAAGCACCGGCUAACUACGUG